rnacentral:rRNA from 1 species
UACGGGGGGAGCAAGCGUUGUUCGGAUUUACUGGGCGUAAAGGGCGCGUAGGCGGCCACCGCAAGUCGACUGUGAAAUCUCCGGGCUUAACCCGGAAAGGUCAGCCGAUACUGCGGGCUAGAGUGCAGAAGGGGCAACUGGAAUUCUCGGUGUAGCGGUGAAAUGCGUAGAUAUCGAGAGGAACACCUGCGGCGAAGGCGGGUGCUGGGCUGACACUGACGCUGAAGCGCGAAAGCUAGGGGAGCGAACGGG